ACUCAAGACUCAUAACGAAAAAUUUAAAUAAAAGUAUCAUAAAAGUAAUUUACAAACUCUAUAUUCUAAUAUUCUGAUGUGCUGAUAAUUAGACCUGUUUUGUGAAUGAAUUCGGCAUACUUUUGGAGGCUUAUAGUCAAUAUUUUGUAAAGUGUAUAUAGGCAGACAUCCUAUUGUGACAUUCAUUUGAAAUUGGCUCAAGUGUGAGUAAAUGAUCACAAUGUUAAUUUGUGGUGAAAUGUUUCUGCUAAAUAUUUAAAAACACGUCUCCUAACUUGUGUUCUGAUGCAUUCUACUGUGCUUGCAUCUGUGUGACACCUCUUAAAUGUUGCGAAAGUAAAUAUAACAUCCCAUGUGCUUAUGCCAUUCUUACGUGGUUAAGUCUGAUAUUUCGAUAAUUGAUACUUCAGACCUGUGCUCUCAGGUGGCUGUAUUUCAUUUCACCCAUGACAUGCAGUCAGCCAAUCCGAUGAGAGUAUGCGUGUGCCUGCGUGGCUGCAAUCCUCUCAACAAACUCAGUAUCAGACUGGAGGAGAGGGGUAUGUUUGCUACCACAUUACCUCUAAGGCAGUUUACUAGGCAUAUCCACACAAUGCCGUGUGUGAAAUCAUAUAUACAUGUAGUAGUAGAGUGCAUGUAAAAGCCAUCAUGACGGAUUAUCAGGACCUUCUGCAAACCAUCAAGAGUUUGCAGCACUCCAGACUGAGCUACAUAGAGCUUCUUCAAGAGGAGGUGAAGAGAAACCAAGAUAAGCCUAGUGAGAAGAUCAAAUCUGACGAGGACAGUGACGACUCCUCUAGACCUGCCACCUCGGCCCAUCACAUCGGAGCACAGAACGAGCAGUUCACAGUGCCCUACUCCAUCCCUCAAACCCUCACAGUGUCUCCGAGUCUGGGUGGGCAACCACUGUCACCAGAGCUGGCGGUGAGUAUAAGAAAUAUUUUAUUUGGGAACACGUUCCAUAUAUUCAACUAUGAGUGGAAGAAAUCAUUCUUCAAGUUCCGGGAGCCUUUCUCUGACAUGUCAUAUGCUCUGGAGACUGAGAGGGUGGUGAGUAUAAGAAAACUUCCCAUUAACAGCCAUCGCUUAUUGUCAAAGUUUUAG
rnacentral:lncRNA from 1 species